GACGAACGCUGGCGGCGUGCUUAACACAUGCAAGUCGAACGGUUCUGCCCUGUUUUUUUCGGGGUGUGUGGGUGGCGGACGGGUGGGUAACUCGCGCGUGACCUGCCUGUCACUUCUUUCUGACUACCCGAAAGGGUGGCUAAUACGGGGUGUUCUUUCUGUGCCGCUUGGUGUGUGUGGGUGGGAUUGACUUUGUUUCUGUUGUCGAUGGGGAUGGGGUCCAGGAGCUUGUGGGUGUUUGAGGGGUGAUGGCCUGGCAGGGCGGUGACGGGUAGCCGGCCUGAGAGGGUGGGCGGUCACACUGGGACUGAGACACGGCCCAGACUCCUACGGGAGGCAGCAGUGGGGGGUAUUGCACAAUGGGCGGAAGCCUGAUGCAGCGACGCCGCGUGAGGGAUGGAGGCCUUCGGGUUGUGAACCUCUUUCGCCGGUGAAGCAGGUCCGGCUCGUUUUUGGGGGGGUUGAGGUAGGCGGGAUAAGAAGCGCCGGCUAACUACGUG
rnacentral:rRNA from 1 species